UUUAGGUUCGUGCCACUGUUUCCGGAACUCUCUGUCGCCAGGCUCUUCAGACUGACCGUGCUUCCGUAAUGUCCAGUGGCACGGAAAGGUUUUGAGGACAAUUGUUUGUCCUUCGUUUCCAUCAAGGACAUUCUUGAUCCACUUGGAUAAGUACUGCGUUGACGAUUUAUCAUUAGAUGGUGAUAUGAUUGGCAAAAUAUUUUAAGGAGUAGAUUGUAAAAGGACAUCAAGGACAUUUCACUUUGGUACUCUAAAAUAAUACUUACCGAAUAUUGGUGCGGAUAUUGAUGUUAUUUUUUAAAAGUCCCCAACUCCCGCCAAGACGUGCCAUUUCUUCUACGUUGGAGAUGAUCGUUUAAUUAUCCGGAACAUACCUCUCUCUCUUGCCCAUUGGAUCCUCUUUUGUUCCACCAGUGAGGUUCUCCCGAUCAUUGUUGGCGCGCAAUACGAUUCCCGCGAAAAAGAAAUUUGCUCGGUC